rnacentral:rRNA from 1 species
GACGAACGCUGGCGGCGUGCUUAACACAUGCAAGUCGAACGGAAAGGCCCUGCUUUUGUGGGGUGCUCGAGUGGCGAACGGGUGAGUAACACGCGAGUAACCUGCCCUUGACUUUGGGAUAACUCCAGGAAACUGGGGCUAAUACCGGAUAUGAGCUCCUGCUGCAUGGUGGGGGUUGGAAAGUUUCGGCGGUUGGGGCUGGACUCGCGGCUUACCAGCUUGAUGGUGUGGUAGUGGCUUACCAAGGCUUUGACGGGUAGCCCGCCUGAGAGGGGGACCGGCCACAUUAGGACUGAGAUACGGCCCAGACUCCUACGGGAGGCAGCAGUGGGGAAUAUGGCACAAUAGGCGGAAGCCUGAUGCAGCGACGCCGGGUGCGGGAUAACGGCCUUCGGGUUGUAAACCGCUUUCGAAUGUGACGAAGCGUGAGUGACGGUAAUGGGUAAAGAAGCAACGGCUAACUACGUG